AUUGAACGCUGGCGGCAUGCCUUACACAUGCAAGUCGAACGGCAGCACGGGUGCUUGCACCUGGUGGCGAGUGGCGAACGGGUGAGUAAUACAUCGGAACGUACCUUAUCGUGGGGGAUAACGCAGCGAAAGCUGUGCUAAUACCGCAUACGCCCUGAGGGGGAAAGCGGGGGAUCGCAAGACCUCGCGCGAUUAGAGCGGCCGAUGCCUGAUUAGCUUGUUGGUGGGGUAAAAGCCCACCAAGGCGACGAUCAGUAGCUGGUCUGAGAGGACGAUCAGCCACGCUGGGACUGAGACACGGCCCAGACUCCUACGGGAGGCAGCAGUGGGGAAUUUUGGACAAUGGGGGCAACCCUGAUCCAGCAAUGCCGCGUGAGUGAAGAAGGCCUUCGGGUUGUAAAGCUCUUUUGUCAGGGAAGAAACACCGGCUCUAACACAGUCUGGGAAUGACGGUACCUGAAGAAUAAGCACCGGCUAACUACGUGCCAGCCGCCGCGGUAA
rnacentral:rRNA from 1 species